rnacentral:ncRNA from 1 species
GAUAAUCAUUUGCAAGACGGUUCCUCUAUGAGGAUGAAAAGGGAAUGUGGAGAAGUUGGCAUAAUGCCAGCUAAGUCCGCAGCUGCCCCCGCAACUGUGAGCGGCAAGCCGAGCGCCAACAUGUCACUGGGGGAAACCCGGGAAGACGGCGUCUAGGCAGCGACCCGCGAGCCAGGAGACCUGCCGUCACAGGUGCCUGAUC